CUACUUACCUAGAAGGGGAGACACCAUGAUCAAGAAGGUGCAUUUCCCAUGGCGAGGCUCAACUACUGCACUCUGGAUGUGCUGACCCCUGCGACUUCCCCAAAUGUGGGAAACUCCACUGCAUAAUUUGUGCUAGUGGGGGGCUGCAUUCAUGCUCUUACCCU